rnacentral:lncRNA from 1 species
AGUGCCUUCUACAACACAAGUCUUUUUAGAAGGGAAGUUCUAUUAUGAUCCUCCUGUGCUCAAGCUGUCUUCUAACUCUCUGACUCACACAGAAAAAAAGAUUCAAAGACUUCCAGGAACUUUCAGGCCUACAGGAUCUGAACACAUCAUUGGCCUCUACUCAGUGACCCUACUCAGGGCACACCAGAGUACUUACUCUCCAAUGACCACAAGGACAUGUUCCUGCCCCAGUGCAUUUGCAUGCGAUUUCUCUAUGACUGGAAAGAACUUGAUCCUGACAUCAUCAAGAUGAUUUCUUAUGUUCUUCAUCUAAGUCAUGUCCACCUGCUGAGGGGUGGAUAUCAGUUUUCUUAGUCUCCACAGAGGUUAAAAAGCCAUGGAAAUUACCACAAGCCAAAUGGCUUUAUGUAGUUCCACUUAUGACCUCACAGGUAUGUAGGUUCCAAUCCCCCAAGAGGCUCACAGGGUCAAGGUGUCACAGGUCUUUGUUUCUCACUGGAGGCUCUGGUGAGGAAUCUGCUUCCAGGUUCAAUAUGGUUAUUCUGAGAAUUCAGUCCCUAUCUCCUGGCUGACUGUCAUGCAGGGGCCACUUUUAGCUCCUAGAGCCCUCUCUCAGGUCCUCAUAUGUGCCCCAUAUAGCACAUCUCAUCUUUCUUCCACUGGAACUUCUUAUGUCCCCUCUGCUGCAUCCCCUCUGCCUGCCUCUCCUGUAGCAUCUCUCUGAGUCCAGCCAGAGGAUGAUCUCUGCUUGGAAAUUUUACUGUUAUUUGAUAGGGCCACCCAGGACAAUCUCCCCAUUUUCAGAUCUUCACUUUGGUUGCAUCAAUAAUGUCCCUUUUAAAAAAUUAUUUAUUUAUUCAUUUAUUCUAAUUAGAUAUACAUGACAGCAGAAUGCAUUUUGAUUCAUAGUACACAAAUGGAGAACAAUUGUUUUCAUUUCUCUGGUUGUACGUGAAGUAGAGUCACCCAUUCGUGUCAUAAUACGUGUAUCUAUAGUAAUGAUAUCCAUCUGAUUCCACCAUCUUUCUUACCCCUGUUCCUCCUCCCUUCCCUUUCCCCUAUUCAAAGUUCUCCAAUUCCUCCCAUUCUCCCCACCCCAUUAUGGGUCAGCAUCCACUUACCAGAGAAAACAUUCAGCCUUUGUUUUGGGGGGAAUUGGCUUACUUCGCUUAGCAUGAUAUUCCCCAACUCCAUCCAUUAACCUACAAAUGUCAUAAUUUAUUCUCUUUUAAUGCUGAGUAAUAUAUAUAUUACAGUUUCUUUAUCCAUUCAUCUACUGAAGAGCAUCUAGAUUGGUUCCACAGCUUAGCUAUUGUGGAUUGUGCUGACGUAGCUGCAUCACUGUAGUAUUCUGUUUUUAAAUCCUU